CGUGGCGACUCUGGAGAGCGUCGAGCCCGGCUGCGGGUUCGUCCACCGAAGGGGCACGCAGCGGCUUGAUCGCCGCCGCAAUCUCUCAGGUUAGGGUCGAAGAGGACUCUUAAGGACAGAGGGGUGAAG
rnacentral:ncRNA from 2 species